GAAUAAUUCGUAAGAAUCGUCGACAGUAACAACAGUAGCAACAACAGAUGCAUAACCAGUCGCCUGUUGUAAGGACUUUACCGCCGUGAGAGAACUCGAUCGAGAAAAUUAAUAAUAACCCAAAAGACCUACCACCACCACCACAACUACCCGCAAAUAUACAUAUGACGCGCAACGAAAGAACCCUAAGGGACUAUACACUACCAAGUCUAGAGAUGGUUUGAGGAAGUAUAACAAGGUUGAC
rnacentral:lncRNA from 1 species